GCGGGAUCUUGAAUCAUGUGAUAAAAAUUGCAAAGAAGAAUGUUCAAAGACAAUAUUUCGAACAAACAUAAUGGAAAGGCCCAUUAUACUAUCUUCAUCACCAUCAGGAGAUAAAUUAGGCUAUAUAUCCGUAGACGUAGAGGUUUUCGAUGAUAACAUAAUGCAUUACGAAUACGUUCCGAAAUAUGAGG